CAAGUCAAGCCGCGGUACGGGUGUAUGGCUGUGUGCCCCGUUCUCGGAAGCGUCGACGGGUUUCCGGCAUGCGGAUUUCAGCGUUUGGACUCGACUUUUGGUGAGGAUGUCGAUCGACCUUGGGCCUGGUGACAGCACACCCGACAUGGCCAAAGUGCAGCCUAUCAGUUGAGUGCCCCCGAAUGGACCAUCAACAUCGGAAAAUGAAACAGAGCCAGGGGGAAAAGGUUCCGGUAACACCAUGCAUUCAGUAUGGUGGCCCAGACGUGUAUGCAAGCAAUCUCCUUCAUGUGGACCAAGAACUACUCUGCAGUGUCUCGCAGACUUCCAUGCGAAGUCCUCAACAUUCUCGUCUCAGUGGAAUGGCUGCUCAUCUAUCUGCGUGUCCAUCACCAAGACGGCCAGUUGUAAAUUUUCUGUACCCGUUUAAGAAAGCUUAAUGAUUUUUUUAUUUAGUUUUCACGGUUGGCCGUAGAAUCUUAACAUUUUUGAUGUUUAUAACAUUUUUACCUGGCACAAAGUGGUGCAAUAACUUUAAACCAGUGUAAUGUAUUUAAGUGAUGCUCACUCUAAUGCCUAUCUGGUUUUGUUAGUGUUUAAGAAAUUUGUAUGUCUGAUGAGGUAAGAGCAUUUGAAUUUGUCAUCGUGGCUCGU